GCCAGCAACCAUAUCACCCUGCAACUCACAACUGGUGUGAGCCUGGUGAGUACCUGGAUGGAAGACCUCCUGGGAAAAACAAAGGUUGUUGCUGGAA
rnacentral:rRNA from 1 species